rnacentral:rRNA from 1 species
UUGACCUCAGAUCAGGUAGGAAUACCCGCUGAACUUAAGCAUAUCAAUAAGCGGAGGAAAAGAAACCAACAGGGAUUGCCCCAGUAACGGCGAGUGAAGCGGCAACAGCUCAAAUUUGAAAUCUGGCCCCAGGCCCGAGUUGUAAUUUGUAGAGGAUGUUUCUGGCGAGGUGCCUUCCGAGUUCCCUGGAACGGGACGCCAUAGAGGGUGAGAGCCCCGUACGGUUGGUUGCCGAGCCUCUGUGAAACUCCUUCGACGAGUCGAGUAGUUUGGGAAUGCUGCUCUAAAUGGGAGGUAUACGUCUUCUAAAGCUAAAUAUAGGCCAGAGACCGAUAGCGCACAAGUAGAGUGAUCGAAAGAUGAAAAGCACUUUGAAAAGAGGGUUAAAAAGUACGUGAAAUUGUUGAAAGGGAAGCGCUCAUGACCAGACUUGGGCAGGUUAAUCAUCCGCCGUUCUCGGUGGUGCACUUUGCCUGUCCAGGCCAGCAUCAGUUUGCUCCGGGGGAUAAAGGCUUCGGGAAUGUGGCUCCCUCGGGAGUGUUAUAGCCCGCUGCGUAAUACCCUGGAGCGGACUGAGGUUCGCGCAUCUGC